rnacentral:rRNA from 1 species
UACGUAGGGUCCAAGCGUUUAUCCGGAAUCACUGGGCGUAAAGCGUGCGUAGGUGGCGUGUUAAGUGUGAUGUUAAAACGUGGGGCUCAACCCUGUCGGUGCAUCACAUACUGGCAUGCUAGAGGACGGCAGAGGCAAGUGGAAUUUGUAGUGUAGCAGUGAAAUGCGUAGAUAUUACAAGGAACACCAAUGGCGAAGGCAGCUUGCUGGGCCACUCCUGACACUGAGGUACGAAAGCGUGGGAAGCGAACAGG